GAAAAUUCUGCUUCAGAAACAGUACCGGUACUGAAGAAGAAGAAAUCCCUGUGUCUGUUUCAAUUGCAUCGCUUUCUUCGAUUCCAGCACUGAAACACUAGGAAUUCUGGUGAGUACGCUGUUGAGGUUACGGGUGUCUCGCCAAAAGCCACGGACAAGGAUGUUCCUGACUUCUUUGCUUUCUCCGGUGUCAUUGAGAAUGUUGAAAUUAUCAGAUGUCUGGUGAUUAAGCCUGUACCGCAUAUGUGACAUUCAAAGAUGCAUAUGCUCAAGAAACUGCAUGCUUGGUCAGUGGGUGUAUUUAUCUAACUUGUGUCCGAAUUACUUGUUAUGAUGAAACAGGUGUGAUCUUGUACUCUACUAGUCAUUAAGUUGCCUCAGUGAUAAAUUCCAUAGUAUAUGUUUGUUGUAAAAUGAUUGUAAACUAGUCAAAAUUGAAUCUGUAAUCUGUUAUGUUAGGGAGCCACUAUUUUAGAUCAAAGUGUAUGAAUAAGACGCUGGGGACACUACGAAGAUGAAUUUGGUUUUUAGAACUGGCCCUCCUAUAGUCCUGAGGAUGAGACUGCUUCAACUGUAUGAGCCUUGUGGGUGUCAGGUGCUCUAACCAGAGCAGCUCAAGUUGCUUCUGAUUUGGAUACUCACAGGGAUAGGCAUUAAAUAAAGAAUUGACAUAAUCAAACACUGUCUUGUAGAUAUGUCUCCCUCUGCUAGAUAGCUUUUGAAACUUCAGUUAGUAAUACUGUUAUACUUUUACAGUACAUAAAUCCUGUUUGGAUAAUUUUUUGCACAAAUACUUA